UACGUAGGUGGCGACCGUUGUCCGGAAUUACUGGGCGUAAAGGGCGCGUAGGCGGAUUUGUAAGUCAGACGUGAAACCCCGGGGCUCAACCUCGGAACUGCCUUUGAUACUGCAAGGCUAGAGACCGGAAGAGGUGAGUGGAAUUCCUAGUGUAGAGGUGAAAUUCGUAGAUAUUAGGAAGAACACCAGUGGCGAAGGCGGCUCACUGGUCCGGACCUGACGCUGAGGUGCGAAAGCGUGGGGAGCAAACAGG
rnacentral:rRNA from 1 species